rnacentral:rRNA from 1 species
CGUAGGUGGCAAGCGUUGUCCGGAUUUACUGGGCGUAAAGAGCGCGCAGGCGGUCAUUCAAGUCGAGUGUGAAAGCCCCCGGCUCAACUGGGGAGGGUCACUCGAUACUGUUUGACUCGAAGGCGGGAGAGGGAAGUGGAAUUCCCGGUGUAGUGGUGAAAUGCGUAGAUAUCGUAAGGAAGACCGGUGGCGAAGGCGACUUCCUGGCCUGUUCUUGACGCUGAGGCGCGAAAGCUAGGGGAGCAAACGGG